CCUACGGGAGGCAGCAGUGAGGAAUAUUGGUCAAUGGACGAGAGUCUGAACCAGCCAAGUAGCGUGAAGGAUGACUGCCCUAUGGGUUGUAAACUUCUUUUAUAUGGGAAUAAAAUGUUCCACGUGUGGGAUUUUGUAUGUACCAUAUGAAUAAGGAUAGGCUAACUCCGUGCCAGCAGCCGCGGUAAUACGGAGGAUCCGAGCGUUAUCCGGAUUUAUUGGGUUUAAAGGGAGCGUAGGUGGAUUGUUAAGUCAGUUGUGAAAGUUUGCGGCUCAACCGUAAAAUUGCAGUUGAAACUGGCAGGCUUGAGUACAGUAGAGGUGGGCGGAAUUCGUGGUGUAGCGGUGAAAUGCUUAGAUAUCACGAAGAACUCCGAUUGCGAAGGCAGCUCACUGGACUGCAACUGACACUGAGGCUCGAAAGUGUGGGUAUCAAACAGGAUUAGAUACCCCAGUAGUC
rnacentral:rRNA from 1 species